ensembl:lncRNA
CAGGUGAAACGACCAACCUAAAACGACUUACAUUAAUCAUUUCAGAUAGCAGACUACAUUUUUCCCUCAGGUAUAGACAGAAAGGAUAUAAUCUAUCUAGAUUUAUAACUAUUAGCAGGAUAAAAAUCCCUCGGAAGAACUUAACACGGUGAACUGUUACAUUCAGUAGGGUGUUUACACAUUUAUUAGUCAGCUAUUAUGUCAUGUGAAACAAGAGUAAGAUUUUUUUGUUGUUACAGAUAGAAAAGUGCCCUCUGCAGCUGAGGGGUCAAAGGACCCUGGUGAGAGAGCCACAGGGGGGCAAUUGCAGCUUUCACACUCACAAGGUGACUACAAUUAAAAGGAAAGACUGCAAAUAUUGACACAUUCAACUUUAUUUUGGUUGUGUGUGAUUUUCUGGGAGGACUGUACUGUUUGAUUUCAUAUUAAAAACAUUGGCUUAACUUCAACCUGGAUCGGCUGGGCUCUGUCAGUGGGUCAUGAAGAUAAAUGGUCUGUUCCUCACCUGAAGAAUGGCAUUACAUGUAUCAGGAGGUAAUAUUAUUCUGGGUUUUGUAAUCUUCAACUAACCAAAACACCCUAACGUAGUUUAUUGCUUUAAAAUACAGAUCCCACAGGCACUAAUGGCACUAAUCAAGCACAGGUGUGAAGUUUCAAUAAAAUAACUGUUUGAUGAUAAUUACCAUCCAUUAAAGACAAUUGUUGAUAUGAAUUAAUGUUAAUAGUAGUCGCAGUAUUAAUUUCACACUCUUUUGAUCAUUUAAUUUACAUGUGCUAGUACUGGGCAAAUGAUGAUUUCUUGAUGGUUUCUGUGACUCUUCAGCUUCCUGCUGCUGCUGCUGCCUCAACAUGCAUUGUUGGCCAGAGCACGUCUGCAUCCACUGGUGAUUCGCCAGUGUCACGUCCUGCACACUCGUUCUCUGUGAUACCCUCUGUUGUUCCAGAAACAACCCAUGCAGGUGACACAUCAGUCACCCUUCCUCCUCCAGAGAAGUCCAGUCAGCUCUACUGAUGUCUCCACUGCUCCAGUAAGGUCGAGGAUAAAUGUUUCAAUGGUAAAUUUAACAUACUGAUAUUAAUUUCUAGUCAAAGUUACUUACUCCAAAUGUUCUUCAAGCAUAAAAACAUCUUAUGACAUAGUGAUGCAACGUUUUGCCUCUAAUUUCCAAGGCUUUUGAUUUUGAUAUAUGUUUUAUGAGUUUGAUAUAUGUUUUAUGAGUUUGAUAUAUGUUAUUUUAAGUUUGAAAGAUCAAGGCUUGGUGGAAAACGUGAGAGCUGCAAAGCCAAACCUGAACGUUUCCAGAAAACCUUCCCAGGUGAAUAUAAGAACAUAUUAUGAAGUUUGGCAUGUACAUACAAAUGUAUGACAGUGGCAAAUAAAACAUGUACAAUAACAUGUCACAUCUAUAUAACCCCAUAGGUACCAGUGACUGCAUCGGGACAUGAGGGUCCUGGGGCAGCUUCAGCCAUCGACCCAUCUCCUGAUCCUGUCCCAUUGCCAAAGCAGCCUCAUCAACCUUCCCCAUCUCGUCCAACUGUUUCCGCAUCCCCAGACACCUUCCUUGCUCCCCCAUUACCACCAUCUGUGCAGCCACCAGCACCUGCUCAGCCUGUGACGGAUCAUACUGUUGUGAGCAACCUGGUAAAAACAGUCAACAUCAAUAGAUAAAAGUGAUGAUACUUUUGUUUUGCCUUAAACUAUUGCAUGGGAUGAGUCUUAAAAGGCAGGUCUCCUUGUUUUUCUGAACUUUAACAGAACCCCUUUCAGCCAGAGCAUUCUGCUGCUCUCCCACUGCUGUGGCCAAAGACAAUGCCACAGCAGGACCACAAGUGGGUGUCAUCAGCUUUGUUCAGGGUUGGUUCAGGUGGAAAGUUGGAGUUGCGUGACCAGCUUCAGCUGUGGUAUUACCCUCCACAGCCAUCUCUGGUGUACCACCAGGCUCCAACCCCUUUGCCGUACGGCUGCUCUGCUUAAAGCCAGCAUGUAAUGGGCAUCCACAGGCCAGCGGUGGUCUUCACAGGAGAGUGCGCCAGGUCCUUGAUAUUGACCGCUAUUACAACUUGGUCACAGAGACCCUGAUAUGCAGGCAAUUCUCCAGCAGCUGGACCUGGAACACCGCUCAGAGUUUAGGGUCAUCCUGACACGCAGGUACACGACACAAAUACAUACAUAUGCACUCACUACACAUAUUUACACAUCAAAAUGUAGUUUGGAGAAAGAGAGAAUAUUUUUUUUCCUUUUUAAAGAUAUGCCUGUGACAUCAGAGUGAUCCGUCUAGAUGCCUCUAGACUGCUGCAACCACAUUUUAGGAGCCCCCAGUAUCAGCGGUGUUACCAAGCUAUAAGUGGCUCCUUGUUGUGUACAGUCAAGAUAUCCUGAACAGGCUGGAGGAUAUUGAGGCUAAGAUAACUUCAGUCUAUGGAUGCAUUUUAAAAAUGGACUCUACUAAGACGGUUAGAAUUUGAAUAGCUCUAAUCUUCCAAAUAAUAUACACUCAAUCUUUACAUAAAUGUUCUGACGGUUUUUGAAUUUUCAGAUCACCAAGAAGCUCAGUGGACCUGCCAAGGGCACUGUCCGGUGGCUGACUUCUGUGGGGAACAAAAUGGGUCAGGUACUCAUUAGUGUCCUAACAGCCAGUGAGGGUCCAGCAUUGGAUCUUAUGGCCGCAGGCCUGAUGGACAGGUAAUAAUGACAAUACUGAUGAACUAUGAGCUAUUUAAAAGCACAUGUUAUAAACUGCUUACCAGAAUUGCAAAAAUGAAAGUGACAUUAUGGAUGGAUUCAGAAUA